AGCGAACGUUUGCGGCGGGCUUAACACAUGCAAGUCGAACGGGCUGUUCCUUCGGGGGCAGUCAGUGGCGCACGGGUGCGUAACACGUAGGUAAUCAACCCUCUGGUUGGGGAUAACACUUCGAAAGGAGUGCUAAUACCCGGUAUGGCGCAGCGGUCUUCGGAUCGCGGCGAGAAAGACCCGCAAGGGUUGCCAGAGGACGAGCCUGCGGCCCAUCAGCUAGUUGGCGAGGUAACGGCUCACCAAGGCGAAGACGGGUAGCUGGUCUGAGAGGAUGAUCAGCCACACGGGUACUGAGACACGGACCCGACUCCUACGGGAGGCAGCAGUAAGGAAUAUUGGACAAUGGGCGCAAGCCUGAUCCAGCCAUCCCGCGUGCAGGAUGACAGCCCUACGGGUUGUAAACUGCUUUUGUUAGGGAAGAAACCCCUCGAUUUAUCGGGGGCUGACGGUACCUUUCGAAUAAGCACCGGCUAACUCCGUGCCAGCAGCCGCGGUAAAGUCUAGCA
rnacentral:rRNA from 1 species